CUGCCGUGUGUGUCCAGGCAGAAAAACGCCGAGCACAGCCGGGGUUUGUCUGAGCUCACCUUUCAUGCAAGAAACAAAAGCAGCAAAGCGCAGCAAACGUGUUUUGACAAACACGAGCGUGUGCGUGUGUAGUAUUUUUGCAGCGAGUGCACUGGGUGGGUGUAGAUGGGCAUCAAACAAGGACAGUUCAAUCCACGGGCUGUUCACAGCUGCUCGGCUUCCAAAACACCACAGAGUGGUUCCGAGCUGCCUCCCAGCAUCACUCAGAGCUUCCUCGGGCAUUUUCACGGGACUGGAUGGGGCUGCAGGAGUAAAGUACAGGAAGGGUGCCAAGAAGAUGGACCAUGCUCUGCUCGGUGGUGCCGAACCACAGGAGAAGAGGCUGCAGAACUGAAGGCCACGGAUUCCCACCAGAACAUGAGGAAGAACUUUGUUCCUGUGCAGGUGAACGAACACUACUGAACAGAUCGCCUGGAGAGGGUGUGGAGUCUCCCUCGCUGGCGAUAUUCCAGAAGCCGUCUGGACACAAUCCUGUGCCCUGUGCUCUGGGAUGACCCUGCCUGAGCCGGGAGGUGAAACACCAGGUUACCCACGGUGCUCCCUCCAUCCUGACCCGCUCUGCGGUUCGGGGGGUCCCGCGGCCCCGGCAGCUGCGGCCGCCCCGCCUGGGCGCGUCCGGGGGGCGCGGG